ensembl:lncRNA
AUGGCAGGACCAGCCUCUCUCAGGAGGGUCGGAGGCAUUCCACAGGUCUGGUGUUCAGGAUCACACACACAAACAGGACAACACACACACAGGACAACACAAAAAGGAUCACAUAUGCACGCGAACACGCACACUCAGAACUACACGGUGCCAGAGAAUCACAGAUACGCAGAAAGAGAGGGAGGAUGGGAGAGAAGAGUUAAGAGAGAGGGAGAGGAAGGGAGAGAGAGAGGAGUAGAGCGAGGGAGAGGAAGGGAAAGAGAGAGAAGAGAAGAGGAGGGAGAGGAAGGGAGAGAGAGAGAGAAGAGUAGAGCACCUCAGUCUGCUGCAGGGAGAGACCAUGGGGGCUCUGACAGGGCUUCUCUCUACACUAGUCGCUCUGCUAUUGACCCUCCCUCCAGGGUCAUUGGGUGAGGAAUGCAGUAGUUUCAGACACGUGGAGAACGGUAGAACAUUCUUCCGUUACAGCGGGCUGUAUGUGGCGUUCACCUGUAACCCUGGCUAUAAGAUCCAUGGAUAUAGAACCAACAGCUGUGUGUCUGGACAAUGGACCAGGGAACCUCCCGUGUGUGUUGGUAAGUGACUUGAGUUUGAUACAUGUAUUUCAAGUUACACGUCUCUCUCUCAAUUUCUCAAUAGCAAGGCUAUGCUCACUGAGUCUGUACGUAGUCAAAUCUUUUCUUACGUUUGGGUCAGUCACAGUGGUCAGGUAUUCUGCCACUGUGUACUCUCUGUUUAGGGCCAAAUAGCAUUCUAGUUGGCUCUGUUUAUUUGUGAAUUCUUUCCAAUGUGUCAAGUAAUGAUAUUUUUGUUUUCUCAUGAUUUGCUUGGGUCUAAUUGUGCUGCUGUCCUGUUUUACGUUGUACACGGAGGAUAUUUUUGCAGAAUUCUGCAUGCAGAGUCUCAAUUUGGUGUUUGUCCCAUUUUGUGAAUUCUUGGUUGGUGAGCGGACCCCAGACCUCACAACCAUAAAGGGCAAUGGGCUCUAUGACUGAUUCAAGUAUUUUUAGGCAGAUCCUAAUUGGUAUGUUGAAUUUUAUGUUCCUUUUGAUGGCAUAGAAUGCCCUUCUUGCCUUGUCUCUCAGAUCGUUCACAGCUUUGUGGAAGUGACCUGUGGUCCUGAUGUUUAGGGCCAGGGUAUGUAUAGUUUCUUGUGUGCUCUAGGGCAAUGGUGUCUAGAUGGAAUUUGUAUUUGUGGUCCUGGAAACUGGACCUUCUUUGGAACACCACAUUUUUUGUCUUACUGAGAUUUACUGUCAGGGCCCAGGUCUGUCAGGGCCCAGGUCUGUCAGGGCCCAGGUCUGUCAGGGCCCAGGUCUGUCAGGGCCCAGGUCUGACAGGGCCCAGGUCUGACAGGGCCCAGGUCUGACAGGGCCCAGGUCUGACAGAAUCUGUGCAGAAGAUCUAGGUGCUGCUGUAGGCCCUCCUUGGUUGGGGACAGAUCUAGGUGCUGCUGUAGGCCCUCCUUGGUUGGGGACAGAUCUAGGUGCUGCUGUAGACCCUCCUUGGUUGGGGACAGAUCUAGGUGCUGCUGUAGGCCCUCCUUGGUUGGGGACAGAUCUAGGUGCUGCUGUAGGCCCUCCUUGGUUGGGGACAGAUCUAGGUGCUGCUGUAGGCCCUCCUUGGUUGGGGACAGAUCUAGGUGCUGCUGUAGGCCCUCCUUGGUUGGGGACAGAUCUAGGUGCUGCUGUAGGCCCUCCUUGGUUGGGGACAGAUCUAGGUUCUGCUGUAGGCCCUCCUUGGUUGGGGACAGAUCUAGGUGCUGCUGUAGGCCCUCCUUGGUUGGGGACAGAUCUAGGUGCUGCUGUAGGCCCUCCUUGGUUGGGGACAGAUCUAGGUGCUGCUGUAGGCCCUCCUUUGUUGGGGACAGAAGCACCAGAUCAUCAAUAGACAUUUGACUUCAGAUUCUAGUAGGGUGAGGC